rnacentral:rRNA from 1 species
GGACCAUCCUCCAAGGCUAAAUACUCCUGACUGACCGAUAGUGAACCAGUACCGUGAGGGAAAGGCGAAAAGAACCCCGGCGAGGGGAGUGAAAAAGAACCUGAAACCGUGUACGUACAAGCAGUGGGAGCACAGAGCAAUCUGUGUGACUGCGUACCUUUUGUAUAAUGGGUCAGCGACUUAUAUUCUGUAGCAAGGUUAACCGAAUAGGGGAGCCGAAGGGAAACCGAGUCUUAACUGGGCGUUAAGUUGCAGGGUAUAGACCCGAAACCCGGUGAUCUAGCCAUGGGCAGGUUGAAGGUUGGGUAACACUAACUGGAGGACCGAACCGACUAAUGUUGAAAAAUUAGCGGAUGACUUGUGGCUGGGGGUGAAAGGCCAAUCAAACCGGGAGAUAGCUGGUUCUCCCCG